UAAAAUCCCAAGGGGAGCUCCAUAAUCCGGGGCUGAGAGGAAGGUGGAAACCUUCGACCCUUAGAACCUGAACCGGGUAAUACCGGCGGAGGGAUUGGGAAGGAAAAGAUAA
rnacentral:ncRNA from 2 species